UGGGGCCGUAGCUCAGUUGGAAGAGCGCCACAAUGGCAUUGUGGAAGUCGUCGGUUCGAAUCCGAUCGGCUCCAU
rnacentral:tRNA from 1 species